ACGACCGGCAUCGGUCAAGGUUCUCGCCAUCGCAGGGUGGCGAGCUAAGAGGGAAUCCGGUGCGGCGCUCGCGCGCUCAGGCCGGAGCUGUCCCCGCAACUGUAAGCGGAGAGCCAUCCGUCGAACUGCGUCACUGGUGAGCGAUCACCGGGAAGGCCGGACGGAUGGUGGCGACCCGCGAGCCAGGAGACCUGCCCUGACCGUGACAUGUCUC
rnacentral:ncRNA from 1 species